AAGAUGGCGACCGGCGCACGGGUGAGUAACACGUAUCCAACCUGCCGAUAACUCCGGAAUAGCCUUUCGAAAGAAAGAUUAAUACCGGAUAGCAUACGAAUAUCGCAUGAUUUUUUUAUUAAAGAAUUUCGGUUAUCGAUGGGGAUGCGUUCCAUUAGUUUGUUGGCGGGGUAACGGCCCACCAAGACUACGAUGGAUAGGGGUUCUGAGAGGAAGGUCCCCCACAUUGGAACUGAGACACGGUCCAA
rnacentral:rRNA from 1 species